GUGCUCCAUUUGGCAGCACAUAUACUAAAAUUGGAAUGAUAUAGAGAUUAGCACAGCCCCAGUGCAAAGAUGACAUGCAAAUUCAUGAAGCCUUCCAUGUCUUU